ncrna:unclassified sequences gut-2 RNA
UGCGGUACAGCAAGUGGGCUGUACUGAGGGCCAAGUGGGGUCGUAAGC